UACGUAGGGGGCAAGCGUUGUCCGGAUUUAUUGGGCGUAAAGAGCGUGUAGGCGGUUUGGUAGGUCCGCUGUGAAAACUCGAGGCUCAACCUCGAGACGCCGGUGGAAACCAUCAGGCUAGAGUCCGGAAGAGGAGAGUGGAGUUCCUGGUGUAGCGGUGAAAUGCGCAGAUAUCAGGAAGAACACCCGUGGCUAAGGCGGCUCUCUAGUACGGUACUGACGCUGAGACGCGAAAGCGUGGGGAGCGAACAGG
rnacentral:rRNA from 1 species